GACGAACGCUGGCGGCGUGCCUAAUACAUGCAAGUAGAACGCACAGUUUAUACCGUAGCUUGCUACACCAUAGACUGUGAGUUGCGAACGGGUGAGUAACGCGUAGGUAACCUGCCUGGUAGCGGGGGAUAACUAUUGGAAACGAUAGCUAAUACCGCAUAAUAUUAAUUAUUGCAUGAUAAUUAAUUGAAAGGUGCAAUUGCACCACUACCAGAUGGCCCUGCGUUGUAUUAGCUAGUAGGUGAGGUAACGGCUCACCUAGGCGACGAUACAUAGCCGACCUGAGAGGGUGAUCGGCCACACUGGGACUGAGACACGGCCCAGACUCCUACGGGAGGCAGCAGUAGGGAAUCCUCGGCAAUGGACGAAAGUCUGACCGAGCAACGCCGCGUGAGUGAAGAAGGGUUUCGGAUCGUAAAGCUCUGUUGUAAGAGAAGAACGGGUGUGAGAGUGGAAAGUUCACACUGUGACGGUAGCUUACCAGAAAGGGACGGCUAACUACGUG
rnacentral:rRNA from 1 species